UCAAGUGAUGAUUAGUGAUUAAUAAAUAAAAAAAUAAAGAAGUUAAAUCAUACUCUUGUACUGUUACUAAAAAACACAUGUGAUGGGGUUGUUAAAAAAUUAGGAAAACUUAGAUAAGACAAUUCUAAUCCUCCAAAGAUUGACAUUGAUAAUAAUUAUAUAGAAGAACAGGUACAACAUCCAAUUAUACCUCAGUCCUUACCAAGAGAUGUUAUGAGCAUUAGAAAUAACAAUUACUCCAGUUAAUCGGAGCAAACAUUCAAGUCGUGUUCAAUCCCAUUGUGCUGAUCAAGAUAUUAUGGGUUAUUUUUAUUUAUAUUUUAGCAGAGUUAUAAUAAACGUGUGGUAUUUUCUUCAUUGAUGUACUUAAUAGCAUCUCCAAUAUAUUGUUGAAUAAAAACACUAAAGCUAAUGUAUUUAAUAAGAAUAAAUAACAUAAUAACAUAAGACUGUUGGAAAUCAUCCAUGCAAAGUCAUUGUAUCUCUAGUGUUUAAUUAUGAAAUUAGAAAUCUCAAACCUUGGGAGUGAGACACAGUCCCAUCAUGUCAUUAUAUUGAUAUGAUGAGACUGUUUAAUUUAAGUGCGAGCUUUGAAAGAUAGUUAUGGGAUCUAUAAUAUCAAAUUCAGGUUUAGUGUCUCCCAAGUGUCGCACUUAUAUAAUGAAGUUCCACAUAACGCGGUGAGAAUAACCUCAUCCAAAAUUUUCUCUAUUCUUUAUUUCUAUCUUGCUUUCCCAAGUAACAGGUGCAGAAGAACCACGCACAAUCUGAGGUUGGCCUUAGCAACCCUAAGUAAAUGAAAAUUUACCCAUAUUAUAUAUGUGAAUUUAUUUUUGACCCCUUUAUUUUUAACAUAAUUUUUUACUAUUAUAUUUUAUGAUUUAUCGACUAUAGCUUCUACUAUAGGCCUAUUUAAUUUACAUAUUUUACAAUAAACCUAGUUAAGUUUAUAGUUACUCUGUUAUGACAUCUGUCAAACCAAAAUCUUCAUUUUGUCACUACAAUAAAAAUAAUAAAUUAGGAAAAAAAGACUAUUAAUC
rnacentral:lncRNA from 1 species